rnacentral:lncRNA from 1 species
GAAAAUCUCGGGAGGUUGUAACCAAAGAAAGUAUUCCACCUGUUGUCAAUCUGAUUGUAUGGGAACGAUAUUUAUUGUCGUUUUCUGUGCUACUUCGAUUGAUAACUUACUUUAUUUGUCAUUAUUGGAGAUGUAUAGAAAUUACACUUACUAUUGUGGCUAUAAUUAGAACAAUUAAAUACUUAUGCAACAUUGAUUUAUCAUUUUUGAUCAAAUUUGUUAUACAAACAAUGACAAUGGCAUUACAAAGAUAUUUCCAAUAUUGUCAUAUUUCGCCGCUACUCACGCUGGCAUCGUUUCAGACUACCUCCACCGCGUCACAGCUAAGUGACGACACCACCUUUUAUUACACCACGUCUUACAUCAAGUAGAGCAGCGUCACUUUGGUGGGAGAGAGAGAGAGAGAGAGGAUUUUCAAUACGCUAUAUAGCGCGCUAAGAGAGACAUCAAAAAACUGCAAGAGAUAUUAUCGUCAGCACGCGAGCCCAGUAUGCUCGGUCUACGUUAAUAUACAGUAGUCGCCACGCUAGUAGACACACGGGUACAUUGAGCUAAUACAAUCCUGGACCUUUCACUUGUUUGUUGCACUGUUUUCUUUUAUGCCGAGAAGUUUAUGCCGUGAUUUAAGAAGUCCCUUGACAUAAAAGAAGAAGUAUUAAAUUGGAGAAUAUAUUACAGAGAGUUGACAUUUUGUAGAAGAGUUGUAUUUGAAAUUUAUAGUUGUCAUUGUUAUUGUUUUCAUGUGGUUAAGUUGUAAAAGUUAUAAAAUACUUAACACACAUGACAUGACGAUCACAUGUCAUGACAGACAUGAAAGUCACAUGUCAGAACGGGCCGGAUUAGCCCAUAAGCCUAACAAUUACGUAGGUACCCGUGUGUCUACUAGCGUGGCGCUUAUUGUAUACGUCUAUCGAUUUAAGUACAGACCUACAUAAAUAGAAAAAAUUUAAACUUUAGAUGCGUUAAAAAAAGGUUAUAUAUACGAAUAGUAUUUACAAACAUUAUUGCCCGUCCUAAUCACAUCUAAUUUUACACUAAAGACCAUUUUGUUCUCUUGGAACAAAUAUUUUUCCAUUUGGAACAAGUAGAGUCUAAUUACCAUGAAGUGAAAAAGAGCAUGGGUUAAGUAUAUUUAUAUAAUAUAUUAUACAUAUUAUGUAGUUCUGCAAUCGAACUAAGAGACAUUAAUAUAUUCAGCUGAGUGUACACUCAGCGGGGUGCUAGUCUUCGAGGUGUGAAAUUCUAUCAACAAGGGAUCUACAUGUUUUAAGGAACGAUCCCUUGUUUAUUUAAGUACACAUUUCCAGCAAUAGUACCCCGCUGAGCUAAAUAUUAAUGACUCUUUUAGUUCGAUUGCAGAACUAUACAAAGUUAUAUAAUUAAUUAAAUAGGUUGGCACUGCAUUUUAACGAUGUAAAAUCAGUAUAUGUUGCGUCAUUUAUGGAAUAUUACAUAUAGAGCAGUGAGGUACUGUAUUACAGCUGAGCUUUAGGUUAUAACUUAGCGAGGUUGCAAAGUUCAGGUAAACUACAUUUAUUUUUAUGACAAUUUGAGCAAUUAAUUUGAUAUUAUAUAUAAUUGACUGUUUUAAAUGUUAGAAAAUCCAAAAAUUACUGACCCAUUGUGAGUAAUACAAAAAAAAUCAAUCAAUGAUAUAUUUUCCAUUUGUUGUCCCAAAAUCAAUAAAAUAUUUUACGACCGGCUAUUAAAAACCCUUUUUGGGGAGAAAAGAAUAACAAAAAUUGCAGGUGUGUACAUCAGGUUCCAUCAACUUGUUUUUUAUGACCGAUGACCUAGAUUUAAUGACGCCUAGAUGUUGUAUGUUGCUAGAUAUUGGUGCUUCAGAUAUUGUAGAUUAUGAGCUAAUAAAAAUUGACUUUUUUGUGUUAAAGCAAAUAUUUACAGUUUUUCCUUUAGCAUAAGUCACUUCAUGUUCAUUAAACCUACAUGUAUAAAACACUUUUUACGAUUCAUGGUUUUCAAAUGUUGCUCCCUUCUAGAAUUUUCGCUAUAAGUACAGUAAUUGACGUCUACCAAACUAAUAUAAGUUCAUCAAAAAGGAUAAUUAUAGUUGUAUUCGCGGAGCAAAUCCUGAACUUACCCAGAGGGAGAACGCCUGCGCAUUAUAAACUUGUGCGGGAGGUCGAAUUUUUCCCUCUGAACACUUAUUGCGCAGGCGUUCUUCCUCUGGGUAAGUUCAGGAUUUGCUCAGCGAAUAUACAUUAUAUUUGUUUAAUUUUGCUAUUGUGGAUAUACGUAUAAAUGUGUUUUUUUGGCAUGAAUAAAGUAUUAAAAUCUUUUUCAGUAGAAAAUGAUUGUUUUCUUGAGGACAUAAGUAUUUGAUAUAAAAUUUAUUUUAAAAAUAACUGUUUUAACAAAUAUCACAUAGCACAAGGUCAAGGGAUUUGUAAACUGGACAAAACAUAAAUUUUCUGGAAUCUGAACAGGACUAAAUAUAUAGUUUGCUGUAAACGAAAGCACACAACAUCAAAUUAUUGGCGGAUAUAAGAUACUCUCUCCGUUGUAUCUUCGCACAAGUAUUCAUGUUUUUAUACGAUAAAAUACACUGACCAUUAUUUAUUUUGAGUUCUGACAAUAUUGUGGCAGCACAGACUUUGUCUUGUCUAUUAUAUAAGUAAAAUAAAUAAUUUGUGUUAAUUUAAUUAAAUAUAACUCUUUAAAAUUGUAUUCUUCCCGCUAAAGGCCUGUAUCUAUUAUAUCUAUCAAUAGGCUCUCUAUUUGACAAGUAGACAAUGUUGCCACAUAAUAUGUGGCAAUUAUAUUAUAUUAAAAUGUAACGGCCCGAUGGAUUAAAGAAAGCCGUGGGCAAAUACAAGUACUCGUUGGAUUGAUCUGCGCACUGGGA